UACGAAGGGGGCUAGCGUUGUUCGGAAUUACUGGGCGUAAAGCGCGCGCAGGCGGUCUUCCAAGUCAGUGGUGAAAGCCCGGAGCUCAACUCCGGAACUGCCAUUGAAACUGUUAGUACUUGAGGAUGAGAGAGGUGAGUGGAAUUCCCAGUGUAGAGGUGAAAUUCGUAGAUAUUGGGAAGAACACCGGUGGCGAAGGCGACCAUCUCGGACGGAUACUGACGCUGAGACGCGAAAGCGUGGGUAGCAAACAGGGA
rnacentral:rRNA from 1 species